CAGUGGUGCCCCAGAAGUGUCUCCUGCUGGCCUCCUCCACAGCCUCCUCUCCCCCUCCACUUCCAGGCCAAGCUCUGUUCUCCAGGACCAGAAUUCCUUCAUCUCCACUCCAGGAAAGGCCACAUGUCUCUGGAGAGAUUGACAGAAGAACCGAGGGUCCCUCUCUGCUCUUCCCUGCUUGUUGUAUCCUGAGUGUUGGGAGACUCGGUUACAUCAGACAAGUAAAGAAGUGCAUUUGACUUCAUCUUUUUAAAGGAAUGAAAUGCAGCACAGAAGCCCACAGUGUGCUCCUUCUUCUGUAGCCUGGCCAAGUGAAAGUUUUGCGAUGUGUGAGGAAAACACAUUCACAUCCCUUGGAGAGUUUUGCAGAAUAUUUUCAAGGAAUAAAAUUGGAAGCUGUGGCCUUAGGUCAAUUAGUAACCAAGACACAUCCCGAGAAGUGUGCUGCAGUGUGAUUCUGUCAUCGAGGAAACAUCAGCCCACACUCACAUGGUGGAGGAGGAUCGUGGCUCCUCCUGGAGAUACGCUGUCACGAGGCCUCUGUCGAGUCCAUGGCCCACUGGUGACCGGAUGUUUGGAAGCACGCGGCUGUGUCUUGUUCGCAGCCACUGCAGACUUGAAGACCUGGAUCAGGUGUACAAAAUAGAAAAUGUGAUCACUGGAUCCAGAAGAUGAACACAUGAGGUCUGAAGUAGAAUACAGAAAGACGAUUUAUAUCACAAAAUUAACAAAGCUUAGUAGCUACAAUAUUUAUACAGUGGUACCUCAGUUUGUGAACUGAUUUUGGGGAAGAUGGUUGUGUUUGUGCUUGUGCUUGUGUGGGGAAGGUGGCCAUGGUUGUGUUUGUCAACUGAUGUGGAGUUUGUGAAUCAAAGCAAAGUUUUACUGGAAACUUUUUCGUUUUGCAAACUGAAUUGUUUGCAAACAAAAGCAUUUGUGAACUGAGGUAUUAAUGUAUCAAUAUUUUUAUUCUGUAAAUAUACCUAUACAUGAAAUCAAAUCUCUCCCUUAUACUUGAAAGUACAUCAAAAUAGCAUAUUCAUUAUGUAUCACAAAUGUACUAAUUUUAAAAACGAAAAAAUAAACAACAUAAUGACAAUAUACUAAGAGUGGCUUAACCACUUAGUAGUUUACCAGACCGACUCUCCCAAGUGUUGCUUGGGCAGGCAUCAUUUCAACCAGUUGAUUCUUGUUUGCAUGAGAUACACUUGUAUGUAUACUUGUUUUAUAUUAUUGCUAUCAUUGACCAUCAUAUAAUUUUAUUUAGAAUGGUGUAUUUGCCUUUGACAUUUGUUUCUAGUGCAAUCUGUUCACAAUGUGUGUUUAUUUUCAUUAAUUCAUGUUUACUUUAUUUGUGAAAAAUAAUAUAUAAUUUUGUGCUACAAUCUAUAAACACUCUUACCUGGAGUACAUUAGGUAUAAUUUUUAUACUUCUCCAGAACUCACUGAUGUGCUUUGACAGAAGAACAUGGCCAUGUUUGGGACACUGGGACUGAAUAGGGAGGAAGCGCCAAAAGAUCGGCAGAGAAGAAACAAGGAAAGGGAGAAAUGUUGGCAUAGCAGAGGGGAAAAGUCUGUGUUCUAUAAGGAAAAGACAAAGAGAUGUCUCCUUGUUGUUGACUAUUCAUAAUACAGAAUGACAGAACUUGAAAGAAGAAAUGAAACUAAACAAUUCCAAUAGUGGUCAAUGACUUGAAUAUUCUCUGGGUGGUGUUGACAGAGAUGACUACCUCUAACAAGCUGGCCUGUCAUCAAAAAGCAGGGAUAAAAAUUAUUAUAAAAUAGUUACGCACCUUCUGGGCCAGACAAUAUGGAACUUGUUUGUUACUUAUCCAAAGCAAGGGGAUUCAAAAAGUCAUUUACAUUUUAGAUUAGGUCUAGUAGACCAAAUAAUUGAAAAACAUGGGCUAGCAAAAUGCCAACAAGGAGGUCAACCAUCAGCGUCUUCACAAUUGUGUUAGUGGGUAAACAUUUCACUGAAAUUGUAUCCCCCACAACAGUGUAAAAGGUGUUGUUCAAAGAAAGACAGUAAUGCAAAAAAAAUUCGGAAAGAGACCAGAUAGUGCAGACCAGAUGGUAAUGUGCAUUGAAUCUUUUAGGAUAGAGCAUAUGGGAAAAUUAUUAAAUUUGAUAAAAUUGCCAUUUUUAUAUUUCCUGUCAUAAUAUCUUAUAAAAAUUAACAAAUGCAUGCAAUUUUUUGUCAACCUGUACUUUAAAAAUUGGACUGGUAAGUGGUUAAGGAUACAUUUUCGGAAGAGCUGGUGGGAAUGGGAAUGACCAUGUCUCCUGGCUGUGGACGAUAAUGCCAUCAUCAUAGCUGGAGAUGGCCAGUAGGGGCUAGUGCAGUAUCUGGAGUCCCUUUUUAUAUCUAGCCUAACUUCUUUUGUCUUUAUAUUACUAUUAAAUGGGGCUGGGGACAUAGCUCAAGGGCACAUUAAUUACUCCAUUUUAAAUUUUGGUCAUACUUUCCUGCUGGGUGUUUAAGGUUAAGUCAAAGUAAGACCUGUGUUGGGCUGGGAUAUAGCUCAGGGGCACAGUGCCUGUUUGGCAAGAACAAAGUCCUGAGUUUGAAUCUUAGUACCAAAAAAAAAAAAAAAAAAAAAAUACAAUCAAUUGGCCACACAUGAUGGACCACAUCUGUAAUCUCAGCAUCUAGGAGGCUGAGGCAGGGAACCUUGACUCAUCCCACCAUGGGACGGGCUGAAGGUUUGCCGACUUCCAUUACAGAAAAAAAUUUCAAGACAUGUCAUUCAUAGGAAUAACGAGGUUUAUUAGACAGAAUUUGAAUACACACUGAAAGACAAUAGUGCCAGGCCAUAGGAGAGAGGUGUGUCAUAGUUUAGAGCUUGAAUGUGUACAUGCUUUUGGCAGUGGAAAUCUGUUCAUUUUGUGUCAAGUAGGGUGUAUUUUGAUUUCUCUACUUCCACAUUAACAAAACUGUAAGUAUUAAAAUUCCUGUCUCAGAUAAUUUCCCCCUAAUUUUUAAGAAAUGCUCAUCCUUGUGAAUAAAGAAGUAGCAAGCAGUAUAUUUUUUUCAACUUCUGUCUUCUGUAGCAAGAGCGCCAGAUUAUGGUUGCUUUAUGUUUGUGUUGCCCCUUUGAAGAGGAGAUUAUAAAUGCCAUUGUAAUUGCUGGAUCUCCACCCUUGAUUCUCCCAUUUCUGUCAAUAUUUGGUAGGGAAUGACUAUACAGCCAGAUGUUUUCUAGGAGCUGAGUAUACGAGUGAAUAGGGCAAACAUGCUCGCUGUCUUCAUUGGUGUUUAUUAAUUCAGAUAAAAUAACAUUCCUUCCAGAAUACAUUUCCAAGUUAAUUCACAAAAAACUAGCUUACAAGCUGACAUGGUGACCAUUCUACCCAGUUAUAGUUCCUAAGGCUAAACAGCGGGAACAAGUGCUUUCUGACUUGCAGAGAAAAUGAAUUUAUUGGAAUGGCAUCAGCUAGUUCAUCUCAUCUUUGUGAAAUCUGGCAGGGACAAGGAGUUCAUGCUGCAGGUAAGACGGCAUUUCACAUUACAGAGAGGACCUGCUGCCCUGCUGCUGUGCCCUAUCUCUCGCAGCUUGCAGUGCUCCUAUCAAAGACAGCUCUGGAAGCCUCCAAAGCAUUGCCGCCCCAGUGCCUCACAGAAAACACGAGCUGUCAUCACUGCCACUGCGUUCCACCGGGAUGCAUUCUUCUACCCUGUCCCUUUGUGACCCUAACUCCUGACUCAGUGUGUGUGACCAUUUCUGAUUGGCUGAGCCUAGGUUACACAGUGACACGGGAGGCGUGGAGAUGAAGGGUCUGGCAUUUUCUGUAGUUUUGUUCUGCAUCCCAAUUAAACUCAUGGACAGGAAUUUCAGAAACAUGAUGAGGUUGUGAAGUCGACAGCCAUGGACCAUGGUUCUCACCACUUACACCUCCACUUACCACAAGUGACCCCACCCUGCAGUGCGCUUGGUCCUCUGGGUGCGUCCUUUUACAUAACCUCUAUAAUAAAACCGUACUUCCCUGACAGAUGAGGAAAAUGAGGCUUAGAGACAGGAAAUGUCUUUUCCAUGGCCCAGUACAGAAUAUGUUCCAGGAUGAAGUUUGAACCACAUCACAGGCCACAAGGCCCAGAAGUGAGCAACAUACAGUACCACACUGCUCCCUCCCCUUCUGCCGACCCUCCUUCAUUCAGUUCAGGCUUAAGAUCUUUUCUUGCCAACCGCUGAGCCAUCGGGGUCAUCAUUAAAAUGAAACUUUCAUUAGAUGUGGUAUUUGAAAUGAUCAUUAUGAUUCAAGAAACCUUCUUUCAAACAAUUCAUCAACACAGUUCACCAAGGUGUUAGCUGCUGAUUAACAAAGAUUGAUUGCUGUACCUUACUGGGAACAUAAAUACUGUGUGUAUUACUCAUUAACUAUUUUUAAGAUGCAUCUGUUUGGCUUGCUUAAUGCCUAUUAAAAAAGAGCUUCCAGAAAUGGCA